rnacentral:misc_RNA from 1 species
ACUUGAAAGCACUACGACGAACUCUGAGGAAGAUGAGCUCCAAUAGCAAAGGAUCAAAGAAUAAAUAAAACAGGAUGCGCAG